UUCGCAGCUAGAAAUAUUUGGAUGACAGUUGAAUUAUUUCGAUGGGUGCACAUAUUGAUAUUAUUAAUUUUUUUGUUGGUGAAGAAAGGAUAAACGUAAAACGGUAUUCUUAUGUUUACGUCAUCUUUGUCUUCCAUACAUUAAAUUUGACAAAUUAAAGUUAAGAUAUCUCCUAAUUUAAUGGUUUUUUUUUAGUAUAAAUAGAAUAUUCUUGCGUAAGGAAUGAUGAAUUGCGUUGAUUACUGGAUUAAAAAAAUACAUGAUUUCAUUUAAAAAAUCAAAGUUGACCAUCCUAAGCACUUGUCGCGUCCAUCCAUAAAAAAAACUAAUAGCAUCAGAACAUGCACCCUUCGAAACCAUCCCAUCAAAUCAUUUCCCGCUGCAAAUAAUAAUAAUGACAAAAAUCAAGAUGGUAAUUUCAGCAAUGCACAGAACGAACCACGCUGUAACGUGGCCGUAAGCUAAGCUGUAACCUGCAAGGCUGUAAUCUGUAACGGUACACAUACGCUACUAUGCUAUAUACAUAUCUAUAAAACCAGUUUGAGAUACUAGCGCUUCAACAGAUGGUGCAUCAAUUAAUAAUUUUAAUAUAUACUAUACUAUUUCUUAAUCAUAUGUAACACAGAAUAAUUCUUGUUCAUUAUUAUUUUAAACAAUGUAUUGGAAUUAUUGGAAGUUUCAUGUAACUUUAUAAAAUGUGAAAUUAUGUGACAAUAUUUCAUAAUUAAACUGUAGAUAUUUACGAACACGGCUAAAGAAAUAGGCUUUAAAUGGAGAUUCGUUUUUAUUAUUAAAAAUUAUAAUGAGUACUCUACUUUGGAUAUCUUAUAUAUUUUUGUAUAUUGUGCGUACUCUUUGUACCUUUAAAUUUUCCGUAAGUGUACAAAAAUCUGCAAAAACUCUGAUUAUUACCUAUAUUUUUACUAGUUCUGUCUAGGAAAAUAUUAAAUAGGCAAAAACAUAUUAUCAAUAGCACUUUAUUAUGUACCCAACAUUUUAUUCAAAAAUAAAUGCUUAAAACCUCAUAAAAAUUAAAUGUGAAAUACAGUUAAAUAUAACAUGCAAGUAAAAAUCUAUUGAAACAGGAUUUUAAAGAUAACAUUAAAUGUAGAUUAUAAUCUAUAUUAUAGUGAUUGUAAGUUUUUUAUUUUAAUGUUAUAUCUUAUUUUAUUAGACAUUUUAUCUAUUAUGUGUUCUAUAUAUAUGUGUAAUAUGUUUGUAUGAUUAGGAGAAUGAUAUACUUUUGCAUUAAUAUUUCAUACAUUUCUUGGAUUACAUUUCAUAGUUGCAGAAUACAUAGGUUGUUCAAUUGAUGCAAAAAUGUCAUCUAUAUAAUACCACAAUGUAUAUUUUGAUUUGCUAUCAUGAAAAUUUGUACAGAUUAAAAACAAAGAAGUUCCAAUAUAAAAGAAUAUCUGAAGAAUAAGAUUUAACGUUCA